rnacentral:rRNA from 1 species
UACGUAGGGUGCGAGCGUUGUCCGGAAUUAUUGGGCGUAAAGAGCUCGUAGGCGGCUUGUCGCGUCGUCCGUGAAAACUUGGGGCUUAACCCUGAGCUUGCGGUCGAUACGGGCAUCACUGGAGUUCGGCAGGGGAGACUGGAAUUCCUGGUGUAGCGGUGAAAUGCGCAGAUAUCAGGAGGAACACCGGUGGCGAAGGCGGGUCUCUGGGCCGAGUACUGACGCUGAGGAGCGAAAGCGUGGGUAGCAAACAGG